ensembl:lncRNA novel transcript, antisense to SLC24A3
UGGAGACUCACAACAGGCUAUGGUCUGGGCUAUCUCUGUGGGGUGCAAUGUCUGCUCUCUGUAUCAAUACAGAGGGUGACAAACACUAUGUGGAUGCCGACCGGGGCUGCAGGUCAGGGGACGGUGCUGUAAUAGGACCCAAACUUUCCAACAAAACAUUGGCCUUUUCACUUGUUCUCUUCCGAAAAAGCAAAUGCAAGCAUGCUUAAAAAAACAAAAGCAGUUGAUGAGGCAGAUGAUGAGGGAGCUGGUGGCAAAAAAAGAGCUCAGUCCCUGUAGGAACCUGGUUUGGCUCAGCCAGUCUUGGCCUCUGGUUCAUCAUUUUCAUGAUCAUGUUUGUGGCUGGGUCUGGAGUUCAGGGGAGCAGACUGCUCAGGUGGCUGGGACCAGGUCUCCGGCUUCUCCUAGUUUUCUCCCUACUCCUGGGCAUUGAUUGGGACUUAUUAGAACCUCCACUGGAGGAAAAGGAAGCAAACAGAAGGAAGUUGAACCUCAGAUGAGUCAGAGAUUUAACAGUGCCAUGGGGUCCCGAUUGCACUCACCAUCCACACCAUCAUGUAGGAGAAGGCUGCGAUCCACAGCGUGGAGGAAGCAAACGUCACCAUGAACCAUUUCUCCCAGCGCGGCUUGUUGCAGUUGGGUACAGUGAAGUAUAAGACGAAACUCAGCGGCCAGGUGAACGCCCAUUUCACUGUUUCCAG